AUUGAACGCUGGCGGCAGGCCUAACACAUGCAAGUCGAGCGGAGCGGCGGACGGGUGAGUAAUGCCUAGGAACGUGCCUGGUAGCGGGGGAUAACGACCGGAAACGGGCGCUAAUACCGCAUACUAUCAGAUGAGCCUAGGUCGGAUUAGCUAGUUGGUGGGGUAAAGGCCUACCAAGGCGACGAUCCGUAACUGGUCUGAGAGGAUGAUCAGGCACACUGGGACUGUGACACGGCCCGGACUCCUACGGGAGGCAGCAGUGGGGAAUGUUGGACAAUGGGGGAAAGCCUGAUCCAGCCAUCCCGCGUGUGAGAUGAAGGUCUUCGGAUUGUAAAGCACUUUUGGCUGGAAAGCGGUACCAGCAGGAUAAGCACCGGCUAACUGCGUGCCAGCAGCCGCGGUAAUUC
rnacentral:rRNA from 1 species